rnacentral:lncRNA from 10 species
AAGGACUGGCUGUUGAUGGCGAUGUCAAAGAACACAGUGGAAUUGACCAUGAAGUUACACCAAGGAAGUGCCUUCCUCUCCUGCCUCCCCUUCCACCUCCUCCACCUUCUCCACCUCUGCUACCUCUGAGACAGCAAGGCCAACCCCUCAUCUUCGUCUCCUCCUCAGCCUACUUAUGAAGACAAUGAGGGAUGAAGACCUUUAUGAUGGUUGACUUCUACUUAAUGAAUAGAAUAUGGUGGUGAUAUACAUGGAUUUUUGACUGUGCAGAGGGUCGGCGUCCCUAGAUCCUGAGUUGUUCAAGGGUCAAUUGUACAUAAUAAUUUAACUUUUGCAAAACAAAGAUAAAAGAAUGCCACAUAUGUGUAUGCACAUAAAUCUUAUGUCUGCCUAUUUAGAAUUCUGUGGUCGGAAACAUAUGGCGUUCCUGACAUAAAUUACCUUAAGGAGGAGCAGUUGCUGAUGUAGUGGAGCGGGAGAAAGAGGAAGAAAGAGAAAGAACAAUGC